rnacentral:rRNA from 1 species
UACGAAGGGGGCUAGCGUUGCUCGGAAUCACUGGGCGUAAAGGGUGCGUAGGCGGGUCUUUUAAGUCAGGGGUGAAAUCCUGGAGCUCAACUCCAGAACUGCCUUUGAUACUGAAGAUCUUGAGUUCGGGAGAGGUGAGUGGAACUGCGAGUGUAGAGGUGAAAUUCGUAGAUAUCGGGGGAAGACCACGUGGCGAAGGCGGCUCUCUGGGCAGAUACCGACGCUGAGACGCGAAAGCGUGGGAAGCAAACAGG